rnacentral:rRNA from 1 species
AUUGAACGCUGGCGGCAUGCCUUACAUAUGCAAGUCGAACGGCAGCGGACCUUCGGGUGCCGGCGAGUGGCGAACGGGUGAGUAAUAUAUCGGAACGUACCUUUCAGUGGGGGAUAACGUAGCGAAAGUUACGCUAAUACCGCAUAUUCUGUGAGCAGGAAAGCAGGGGAUCGCAAGACCUUGCGCUGAUUGAGCGGCCGAUAUCAGAUUAGCUAGUUGGUGAGGUAAAGGCUCACCAAGGCGACGAUCUGUAGCGGGUCUGAGAGGAUGAUCCGCCACACUGGAACUGAGACACGGUCCAGACUCCUACGGGAGGCAGCAGUGGGGAAUUUUGGACAAUGGGCGCAAGCCUGAUCCAGCCAUGCCGCGUGAGUGAAGAAGGCC